rnacentral:rRNA from 1 species
AUUGAACGCUGGCGGCAGGCCUAACACAUGCAAGUCGAGCGGAGCGGCGGACGGGUGAGUAAUGCCUAGGAAUCUGCCUGGUAGUGGGGGAUAACGUCCGGAAACGGGCGCUAAUACCGCAUACUAUCAGAUGAGCCUAGGUCGGAUUAGCUAGUUGGGGGGGUAAAGGCCUACCAAGGCGACGAUCCGUAACUGGUCUGAGAGGAGGACCAGCCACACGGGGACUGAGACACGGCCCAGAUUCCUACGGGAGGAAGCAGUGGGGAAUUUUGGACAAUGGGGGAAGCCCUGAUCCAGCCAUCCCGCGUGUGCGAAGAAGGCCUUCGGGUUGUAAAGUUCUUUCGGUAGCGAGGCGGUAACUACAGAAGAAGCACCGGCUAACUACGUGCCAGCAGCCGCGGUAAUAC